AGCGAACGCUGGCGGCAGGCUUAACACAUGCAAGUCGAGCGGGCACUUCGGUGUCAGCGGCAGACGGGUGAGUAACACGUGGGAACGUACCAUUUGGUUGGGAAUAACGCUGGGAAACUAGCGCUAAUACCGGAUACGCCCUUUUGGGGAAAGGCUUGCUGCCGAAGGAUCGGCCCGCGUCUGAUUAGCUAGUUGGUGGGGUAAUGGCCUACCAAGGCGACGAUCAGUAGCUGGUCUGAGAGGAUGAUCAGCCACACUGGGACUGAGACACGGCCCAGACUCCUACGGGAGGCAGCAGUGGGGAAUAUUGGACAAUGGGCGCAAGCCUGAUCCAGCCAUGCCGCGUGAGUGAUGAAGGCCUUAGGGUUGUAAAGCUCUUUUGUCCGGGACGAUAAUGACGGUACCGGAAGAAUAAGCCCCGGCUAACUUCGUG
rnacentral:rRNA from 1 species